rnacentral:rRNA from 1 species
GCCAGGAAAUACAGAUGAACCGCUUCUAAUAGUCUAUUAAAUUAGACAAUUAAUUUUAAGAUCUGAUCUCAAAUCRGGUAGGACUACCCGCUGAWCUUAMSCAUAUCAAUAAGCGAARAAA